GCCACAUCUCAAUACUGUUGCUUCGGGGAUUCCGUUUCUACAUUAAUUUUGGAGGGGAUACAAACAUUCAAGCCACAGCAGACUUUUGGAGUGUUUCCAAUUUGAAGCUAUUAAGAAUAAUGUUUCUGUGAAGACUAAUUUAUAAUUUCUCAUGUGAAAAAUGGAAUCUCGCUCUGUCGCCCAGGCUGGAGUGCAG